UCUGUUCUGUUCCUGUGGCCUAGCAAGGGUC
rnacentral:piRNA from 1 species